UACUCCUACGGGAGGCAGCAGUGGGGAAUAUUGGCCAAGGGGGGAAACUUGAUCCCACCAUGCCGCGUGUUGAAGAAGGCCUUAUGGUUGUAAACACUUUAAGCGAGGAGGAGCUCCUGUAGUUAAACCUACAGAGAGUGACGUACUGCAAAGCCCCCC
rnacentral:rRNA from 1 species